GGCACGUCCAAGCGAGAACUAAAGCUGUGGGGUGGCUGCAGCCUGAGAAUAACUCUUUCCGGAGUAGGAUUCGUGUAGGGGAGGUUAAACUAAAAGUUUUUAGUCUGCGAAAUUCUUUUUGGUUUAUUUUCUUUAAGGCUGACAGAAAUACUGGUCGACCACCGCGAAGAUGGCGGCGGCAGUUACCGUGAAUGCUGUUCCUUUAAAGAAGGCUCGUGGUUAUUCACCUGCUCAAAGGCUGUAUAUUAUGAAGUGCAUUGCUUGGUAGAAAGCCAGAGGGGUAUGUUGUCAACUGAAUUGGAAGAAGAUUUGCCCUAUUCUUGGCAAUGGCAUCCUGACCUUUAGUUAUGGUGUGAGGACUACUUUCAAGCAUUGUGAAAAAAACUGAAUUCCACUGCUGAACAUUGCUGACUUGGUGAUUCUAUAGAUGAUUCUUAGCUGUGAAGAAGGCGGAUUCAUCAUCUGCCAAGUAAGUGUUACCUCAACAGCAGUUUCAGGGGGCCCUGGGGAGUUGGGGGGACAUGGCAAAGAAGACAACACAUGAUAUAACUUUUCAGGGCCCCUUAUGGAGGGGGAGAUAGGAGAUGGGGUUGCUGGAAGGUGGGGGGACAUAUACAAUAUGAAGAUAUACAAUGUAAUCUUCAGAUGUUGAGUCUGCUAAUCAGAUCUGAUUGAGCACUCUACACUCUUCUAUGCAAACCAGGCUGCUCCAAUGUCAGUUCCUUGAUUGGUUCAUUUAGCAUGCCUUAUUAGCAUGCACUUUCAGUUUUCUGAUGGAUCCAGGUAGCAUGCCUCAUUAGUAUAUACUGUCAGUUCUCUGGUUAGCAUAGCAUGUCUCAUUAGCAUACACUUUCAGCCCCCUGAUUGAUUGUUAUUCCAGCCCUCUGAUUGGUUGUUAUCCCUGCUUCCUGAUUGGUUGUUAUUCUAGUCCCCUGAUUGGCUGUUAUCCCUAGCUUCUGAUUGGCUGUUAUUCUGAUCCCUUGAUUGUUUAAAUCUAUAUUUGGUUUUCAGAAAGCAGCUAAUCAGAGAGAGCCACUUUGUGUAUAAAAGAGCCAGCACUGGCAAACUUCUCUGGCCACUCCUCCCUUGGAGUCCCCCUCCUGAUUCCUGUGGCAGGAAGUUUCUCACUUUGAAUAAAUCUUGCUU
rnacentral:lncRNA from 1 species